rnacentral:rRNA from 1 species
UACGUAGGUCCCGAGCGUUGUCCGGAUUUAUUGGGCGUAAAGCGAGCGCAGGUGGUUUAUUAAGUCUGGUGUAAAAGGCAGUGGCUCAACCAUUGUAUGCGUUGGAAACUGGUAGACUUGAGUGCAGGAGAGGAGAGUGGAAUUCCAUGUGUAGCGGUGAAAUGCGUAGAUAUAUGGAAGAACACCAGUGGCGAAAGCGGCUCUCUGGUCUGUAACUGACGCUGAGGUUCGAAAGCGUGGGUAGCAAACAGG